rnacentral:misc_RNA from 1 species
UCGUAACAAGGUUUCCGUAGGUGAACCUGCGGAAGGAUCAUUACUGAUUUGCUUAAUUGCACCACAUGUGUUUUUCUUUGAAACAAACUUGCUUUGGCGGUGGGCCCAGCCUGCCGCCAGAGGUCUAAACUUACAACCAAUUUUUUAUCAACUUGUCACACCAGAUUAUUACUAAUAGUCAAAACUUUCAACAACGGAUCUCUUGGUUCUCGCAUCGAUGAAGAACGCAGCGAAAUGCGAUACGUAAUAUGAAUUGCAGAUAUUCGUGAAUCAUCGAAUCUUUGAACGCACAUUGCGCCCUCUGGUAUUCCGGAGGGCAUGCCUGUUUGAGCGUCGUUUCUCCCUCAAACCGCUGGGUUUGGUGUUGAGCAAUACGACUUGGGUUUGCUUGAAAGACGGUAGUGGUAAGGCGGGAUCGCUUUGACAAUGGCUUAGGUCUAACCAAAAACAUUGCUUGCGGCGGUAACGUCCACCACGUAUAUCUUCAAACUUUGACCUCAAAUCAGGUAGGACUACCCGCUGAACUUAAGCAUAUCAAUAAGGCGGAGGAA